UUUGCGGGUUGGAUGGCGAGCCGAUGGAGGCUGGGGGUGGGGGAAGCGGGUCACGGUUUUUCUUUUGCCUUUCCCGGAGUGCCGAGUCGGCUCUCUUUCUCCACGAUGAUGGCCAAGGAGUUAAGCAGACGCGCACUUAUGGUGUUCUGAUCGGCAAAAGAUCGUUUUGAAACAGUCAGUCCAAAAUGUGCUGUACAGGGGAAGUGUUGUGACCCAGGUUCCUGGACCCGGACUCCUGGACUCGGAUGAUUCAGAAAGUGAGGGAGAAGACCUGGCAAGGCAUGCUUCUCUUGGGCCCUCUCCCUCCCUGGCACCCAUGCAAAGGGAGGAGGAGGGGCUGGCAAGGCUUGAUUCUCCCGAGCCUUCUUCUGAUUUGGCAACGCCCCAAGAACAGUUUUGGAGUGAUGCAAGACUGCGCAGACGUGACCGGCGCGCGCAGCAGAGGAAGCGGGACAAAGCCAAGGAAUGAUGGUCAUGCAGUGAUAUUUGCAGAGACUAUAAAUAGGAGGCAGGACUUCCUGGUUUUUUGUCUUGGACAAAGCAAUGAAUUUGCACGGGCAAACUGUAUCAAUGGAGGGAAGAAUAUAUUCGGGCAGCUGGUCCUGAUGGUCUCAGGGAGGAGGAGGAGGAGGAGGCCAUUCCAUGCCUUCUAGGAACAGCAGAGGUUCCUCAUUCUCCACCAUAUCUCUUCCUCCCAGAUGGCAUGUGCUCCAAACAUCCCUGGAGGUCACCAAUGUCAUGAAGUUAGAGGAGGAGAAACAAACUUCGAGAGAAUUUCAGUAGGGAGGGCUCCAGAAGCAACAGAAGCGCCCGGCUCUUCUUCCCCUGAAUGAAGGACAUCAGCUGGGAGGGACUCAGAAACCUCAAUAAAGAUUUACCUCAUGGUGAAAGGAAGAAAUAGAAGCCAAAUGUGUCCUGUCUGAUCUGUAACAUGCCUAAAAUGAUCCUGUGACAGACGGAGCCCAAGACGUUGUAGACAACUUUCCUGCUCCUCACUCUUCCCUUGGUUUCUCACUCCUAUCAGCGAUCAAGGAGAUCUUAAGAAGCUUAAUUUUAUCAGCUCAGACAAUAUGAUGCUUUCCUGGGACCAGCCAUGCAUUCCAAUGCCUUUCUCUUCUCAUCUGUUCUUGAUUAUUUGAAUUAAAUUGGCUAAUGAUUCAAACUUGGCACCCUGAAAUGGAUUUUUUCCUAACAUUGGCCGACAGUCCUUUCUCCAAGCUGUCAACCAGUUGUGGCUCCAUCCAAAACAGAUGAAAUUCUUCCAUAAGCUUGAAAACUUCAGCAAACUAUAUUUUCCAGACUGUCGGCACCUUUGCUUUCAUUCAGUUCCAAAUAGGAGCUAUAGAUUUCUACUACUUUCCCAGGACUGCAUCUUGAGGGCAUCUUGAUCCAAUCUCCAAAUAAGCAUCUCCAAGUUGAUACACAGAUAUCUAAUUAGGAUAAACCACAAAACUUUCUCAAAUCUCUAAGGUCAGCAUAACCAGGCUGCAAAAAAAAAAAAAAUGACCACAAGUUGGCAAGAAAGAAAGACAUUGUUUUCUUGCUACACUAAACCAAACACUAUUUCAUUGAGGGCCACAUCAGGGUUGUGGUUGA